ACAAUUGGAGAAUGUGGUAAUUUUACCAAGGCUUUGACUGGAAGAGUAUGCUUCCCUUUAAGGAGUCAAGCUUGACUUGCAGAGCCGAUAGAAGCCCAGUGGGGAGACUGGCCUCAUACCCUCAUCUACCCAGUCCCUGUACAGGGUUCCUGACCUGUGGUCAAUAAAGAAUGUCACUUUCUAACAGGUCCAAGAGCUCCAAGUUUAUCUUGGGACCUUAAGAGGAGAGGAUCACCCAACUCACAGGUCAUCAAACUCCAAGUGGCCAUGCAACCAGAGCCUCUGAUGAUGGCCCCUUCGGCUGGGAACCUUACACAGGCCUCUGAGGGAGCUUUGACUGCCGUUUCCCCAAAACAGCACCCCUGUCAGCAGGAAGCAGUUAAGAUCGGUCUUCAUACUUAUCCUUAUUCUAAGGGCAGUUGGAUGUGCUUCUUUAGAGGGGCGAAUGAGGCAGCCAAGUGGGAGGGGGUCCCUGGAAAAACUCCAACCAGCCUGCACACUGGGGUGGAGCCUUGGGAAGUUCAUGCCAUUUGCAGCAGGGAGGUGCCUGACUCCUUCUCUCUGUGUGGAACCUGGGAUUCAAGUUGCGAGCGGGAAGCGCUCUAGCAGGGACUCUGGCCUUGUGAGAGUCCCUGUUUCCCCCCUUUCUUUCUUUACAUCCAAUAAAACCCUGUCUUACCAUUCAAAUCUGAAUUUUUGUGGCCAUGGACAGAGGACCCCAUCUUUAGCUGAAAUAAGGAAAAGUCCUGCAACAACAUCAAAUACAAUAAUUAAUGCAAAAUGGAUCAAAGGCUUCGUGUAAUAGCUAAAACCAUAAAACUGUUAGACGGAAACAGGGGUAAAUCCCCGUGGCCUUAGAUUUGGCAAUAGUUUCUUACAAGUGAUACCAAAAGCACAAGCAACAAAAGAAAAACAGAUAAAUUGAACUUUAUCAAAAUUGUGAGUUUUUGUUCUUUAAAGGACACUAUCAAGAAAGUGAAAAUACAACCCACACAAUGGAAGAAGAGGUUUAUAAAGUAUACACUGGGUAAUGGCCUAGCACCCAGAAUCUAUAAAGUACCCACAACUCAAUAACAAAAGGACAAAAAUCGGAAAAGGGUCAAAGUCAACAUUUCUCAAAAGAAGAUGCACAAAUGGCCAACAGGCACAAGAAAAGAUUCUCAAUGUUUUAGUCAUUAGGAAAUACAAAUCAAAACCACAAUGAGAUACAACUUUACAUAUACUACAAUGCCUAUAAUCAAAAAGAUCAUAAGAAGCACUGGUGAGCCCGUAGAGACAUUUGAACCCUAAAACACUGCUGGCAGGAAUAUAAAAUGGUGCAGUCACUUUGGAAAACAGUCCAGCAGUUUCUCAAAGAGUUAAAUCUAGAAUUAUCAUAUGGCUUAGCAAUUCCUAGGUAUAUACCUAAGAAAAAUGAAAGCAUAUGUCUUCACAAAAACUUGUACUCAAAUGUUUAUAGCAGUAUUACUCAUAGUAUCUAAAAGUAGAAACAACCCAAAUGUUCAACGUAAUGAAUGGAUAAAUAAAAUAUGGUAUAACCAUACAAUCAAAUAUCAUUUGGCUGUAAAAAGGAAUGAAGUACUGAGGCAUGGUACAAGAUGGAUGAACCUUAAAAUUACUAUGUUUCACGAAAGAAGCCAGUCACAGAAAAUCACAUAUAUGGUGCCAUUCAUGUGAAGUGUCAAGAAUAAGCCAAUCUACAGUCAGAAAAUAGAUUAGUAGUCACUGCUAGUGGCUGGAGGGCAGGGAGAAUGGAGAGUGACUGCUAAUGGGUAUGAGCUUUCUUUAUGGGGCGAUGAAAAUGUUACAAAAUUGGUGGUGCUGAUGAUUGUAAAACUCUGUAAAUAUACUAAAAAACAUAGAAUCAUAGACUAUAAAUGAAUAAAUUGUUUGGUAUGUGAAUCAUAUAUCAAAGCACAUGUUCUGAUCAAAGUGGAAAACAAUGAAAUAAAAAGUUCCCUGGAGCAGAGUUCUGGAGCGAUGGGAGUUAAACAGGUAAAUGUAAUUCAUAUAAGUCUAAAUUCCGGAAACCAGGACUGUGUCUUUUACAUUGCUGCAGUGCACAUGUUUAACAAAGUUCUGUAUGUAGCCAAUGUUAAAGACAAUCACAGUAAAAAAUGAAGAAAAGCUCUUGGAACCAAACCGUCCAUCAAUUUGCAACUAUGUAGAAGAGAAGAUGUUAUGAAAUCAUGGAAGUCUCCAAGAGCCUUGACCUGAAUUGCUGCCUCUAAUACUGGGAUGGGAUCUACAUUUUCAAGGGACGGUUCCUGUUGCACCUGCUUUUUAAAUGAAGUGGACUCUAGCAUAAUAUCAGCUACUUGGAAAAGAACACCAGUCUUCCAUCAAAUAAGCUGUCUUCGUUGCCUGGCACAUUGACUUGUCAAGUUCCAAAUGUCACGACCUGUGAAAACUUGAGACAACUACAAAGCAAAUCAAUGCCGGAGAAGUGGGCCCUAGGACUUCAGCAAUUUGAGAUUCUGAUUACAAAAGACUGGAAAAGGAAAGACCCUUGGUAGUGCUCAACAUGAACCAAAACACAAAUAGACUCAGCAUUUUUAAUGUUUUAAUGACUAGAAAUGGAAUCUUCACAUAUUGUAAAAAGUGAACAGAAAAGAAACAUUAAAUAAGAAUAAUGCAUAAUCUGCGAUUUUUUUUUUUUUUGAGACAGAGUUUUGCUCUUGUUGCCCAGGCUGGAAUGCAAUGGCGCGAUCUUGGCUCACCACAACCUCCACCUCCCAGGUUCAAGCAAUUCUCCUGCCUCAGCCUUCCCAAGUAGCUGGAAUUAUAGGCAUGCGCCACCAAGCCCGGCUAAUUUUGUAUUUUUAGUAGAGAUGGGUUUUCUCCAUGUGGGUCAGGCUGGUCUCAAACUCCCGACCUCAGGUGAUCCGCCCACCUCGGCCUCCCAAAGUGCUGGGAUUACAGGUGUGAGCCACCGCACCUGGCCUAAUCUGCGAUUUUUAUUGUUUUGUGUUAAUCUGUAUUUUCAAUGUUUGUAUAA